UCUUAUCCAGAGAGGCGGAGGGACUAGGCCCGAUGAAGCCCGGCAACCAACAAACCACAUUUGGUUUGGAAAGGUGCCAAUUCCUACAGAUCUUUUUUGAUCUGAAAGAUAAGA
rnacentral:ncRNA from 1 species